rnacentral:SRP_RNA from 1 species
GCCUGUGCGGUGGCGCAUGCCUGUAGUCCCAGCUACUUGGGAGGCUGAGGUAGGAGGAUCGCUUGAGCCGGGAGUUCUGGGCUGUAGUGCGCUAUGCCAAUUGUGUGUCCGCCCUAAGUUUGGCAUUAAUAUGGUGACCUUCUGGGAGCGGGGUUGCCACCACCAGGUUGCCUAAAAAGGGAUGAACUGCCCAGGUCAGAAACGGAGCAGGUCAAAACUCCCGUGCUGACCAGUAGCAGGAUCACACCCGUGAAUAGUCACUGCACUCCAGCCUGAGCAACAUAGAGAGAUUUCAUCUCA